UAUUUUUCAAAAAAAAAUCGUGUCAAUCGAUUGAUGGUAGGAUGUCAAUCGAUUGGUCCCUCUUAAUUUCUCAAAUUUCAUUUUACAGAAAGUUUCUACAAUCGAUUACAUGAUUGAGUCAAUCGAUUGGUUCCUUAUUUUUUUUAUUUUUUUAAAUUUUACUUUCAACCAAUCGAUUGCAUCUCCCACAUCAAUCGAUUGGUCUUCGUUUUCU
rnacentral:lncRNA from 1 species